rnacentral:rRNA from 1 species
AACGCGAAGAACCUUACCUACUCUUGACAUCCUCGGAACCCUUCAGAGAUGAGGGGGUGCCUUCGGGAACCGAGAGACAGGUGCUGCAUGGCUGUCGUCAGCUCGUGUCGUGAGAUGUUGGGUUAAGUCCCGUAACGAGCGCAACCCUCGUCCUUAGUUGCCAGCACGUAAUGGUGGGAACUCUAAGGAGACUGCCGGUGAUAAACCGGAGGAAGGUGGGGAUGAUGUCAAGUCAUCAUGGCCCUUACGAGUAGGGCAACACACGUGCUACAAUGGCCGGUACAAAGGGUUGCCAAACCGCGAGGUGGAGCUAAUCCCAAAAAGCCGGUCAUAGUCCGGAUUGGAGUCUGCAACUCGACUCCAUGAAGUUGGAAUCGCUAGUAAUCGCGAAUCAGAAUGUCGCGGUGAAUACGUUCCCGGGCCUUGUACACACCGGCUAC